GAUUUGUACCAGCUCUCAGCUAAGUUAUACUUUCAACUACUUUGAGUUGGUACGAAUCAU
rnacentral:pre_miRNA from 1 species